AUUGAACGUUGGCGGCAUGCCUAACACAUGCAAGUCGAACGGUAACGACGGGAGCUUGCUCCCGGGCGACGAGUGGCGGACGGGUGAGUAAUACUUAGGAAUCUGCCCAGUAUGGGGGGACAACAUUCGGAAACGGAUGCUAAUACCGCAUACGCCCUACGGGGGAAANCGGGGGAUCUUCGGACCUGUCACUGCCAGAUGAGCCUGCGUUAGAUUAGCUUGUUGGUGGGGUAAUGGCCUACCAAGGCGACGAUCUAUAGCUGGUCUGAGAGGAUGAUCAGCCACACUGGGACUGAGACACGGCCCAGACUCCUACGGGAGGCAGCAGUGGGGAAUAUUGGACAAUGGGCGCAAGCCUGAUCCAGCAAUGCCGCGUGUGUGAAGAAGGCCUUAGGGUUGUAAAGCACUUUCAAUUGGGAAGAAAAGCACAGGAUUAAUACCCCUGUGUCUUGACGGUACCUUUACAAGAAGCACCGGCUAACUCCGUG
rnacentral:rRNA from 1 species